rnacentral:rRNA from 1 species
GCGCGAAGUCUUUACACUACACGAAAGUGUGAUAAGGGAACUCUGAGUGCUCAUACACUGUAUGGGCUUUUGCCAAGAGUAAAUAUCUUGGAGAAUAAGUGGUGGGCAAGACCGGUGCCAGCCGCCGCGGUAACACCGGCGCCACUAGUGGUGGCCUAGUAUUUGGCCUAAAGCAUCCGUAGCUGGUUAGUUAAAUCUCUUGUGAAAUUGUUGAGCUCAACUCAACAGCGUGCAGGAGAGACUGGCUAACUUGAGACCGGGAGGGGCUAGAAGUAUUCUAUGGGGAGCGGUAAAAUGCUAUAAUCCACAGAAGACUACCUAUAGCGAAGGCAUCUAGCCAGAACGGAUCUGACAGUGAGGGAUGAAAGCCAGGGGAGCAAAACGG